UAGUCUGAUAACGUUGGUUCAAACGUUCUAGAAGCAGGUUCGCGUUGUGUUUUUGCGUGUGCCGUGGCGUCGGUAGGUGUCGUGGUGGUUGACGCGACUAACCCCACGCUUCCGGCGUAAUAUCCCGUAUUCUCAGUUGGUCGUCGUUCCGACAGGUGUGCCGUGCGCGUUUAUGUCGAGUGUGUGACAAGCUAACCGCGACUGCGGCUUGACGUAUUACUACCGCAACAGAGGGACGUGAGGAUUCUUGCUUCGCUUAGCGUGGGAUUUUGGAUUCGCUGCGCGACAUCGCCUUUCCUACCUGCGACGUCCCGCCGGAGGUGUUAUUUAGUUUAUUUUCUCCCUGCGUUGAGCGCUUGGCUGCUCGACCGAGAGGAUUCCUGACAUGGCACGCGACGGCAGCUUCUGCGGGCUGGCGGCUUUGGCGGCGACGGUGAUCGUCCUCAGCUGUCUUGUCAUUGCAGGAGGCCAAAGAAGCCCAGGAGGCAAAGGAGGCGCCGGAAGCGCAGGAGCCCCAGGAAACCCAGGAGGCCAUGGAGGCCAUGGAGGCCACGGAGGUGCCGGGGGCCCAGGAAGCCCAGGAGGCGCAGGAGGUGCAGGAGAUGCCGGGGGCCCAGGACUCGCUGGGAGCGCAGGAGGCACCGGGGGCGAUGGAGGCGACGGGGGCGCAGGAGGCAUCGGGGCUCCAGGAGGCCGAGGAGGCGCAGGAGGCGCCGGAGCGCCAGGAAGCGACGGAGGCCCAGGAGGUGACGGAGGUUCAGGAGGCGAUGGAGGCCAAGGAGGCGCCGGAAGCACGGGAGGUGCCGCUGGCCCAGGAGGCGCCGGAGGUCCCGGAAAUCCCCCCGGACGCCCAGGACAAUCCGGACGCCCAGGAGGCCCUGGGAGGAGAUGAAACCUUUAGCUGCGACACCAAAUGUGCAUAACAAUCAAGUAAAUACGGUAUGUAACUCCCUGUGUACUCCCGGCCAAAAUAUUGUUUUGGUUAGUGCCGCUAUUAUCUCCCUUCCAUUUCUGUGUCCGUUAACAUGACCCUGCUCCAUUAGGACUGUUCUACGUUCUAUCAGCAGCAUCAACUGCAUCAUGUGUUUCCCCUCACUCCAAGUUUUCUACAUACCAGGUCCUUUUUCAGCUCACAUGUUGCACCUUCUCUGACCCCUUCUCGCAUAGGUCUUCCACCGAUGCUCCGCAUCACGUACUUGAGUGUCUGAGUGUCUAUUCUCUCUCUGCUGCCUUCCCAGCUCUUCCACGGAUUCAUCAAGUUUCCUUACUACUAUAUGCGUGUUCACAUCUUGUUCUUUAUCCCUCUUAGUGUCAUCACGGUUCCUUUAUCUGUUUGAACAGAUGGGUUCACUGAGCGACUAUGGGUCCUCGACUGCUCUCGGUCCUGGUAUAUUUUAUAAGAUCACGUCAUGCAGCAGUUUUUCUAGGCACCUGGCUGUCACCAUUCCUGUAUAGUACGGUGUGAAUAUAUAGAUCUUAGCCUCCGGGAGGUAUCUCACUGAGCUGUCCACGAAUAUAACUGGUUUCACCAGCCCCGUCAUGUUUUUCGGAACUACGAAACAUUUCCUUAUUAGCACAGUGCCCGAACCCGCGUCUCGUAAUACAGUAGCCCUCUUUCCUUCUUCUUUAUCUUCUACCACUGACAUACCUCCCUCUUUACUCUCGACAAUGGCUGCACUUACGACCUCUAAUCUUUCCUUUUCUUCAGACCUGCGAG